rnacentral:rRNA from 1 species
UAGUCUGCAACUCGACUACAUGAAGCUGGAAUCGCUAGUAAUCGCGGAUCAGAAUGCCGCGGUGAAUACGUUCCCGGGUCUUGUACACACCGCCCGUCACACCAUGGGAGUUGGGAAUGCCCGAAGCCGGUGACCUAACCGAGAGGGAGGAGCCGUCGAAGGCAGGUCUGAUGACUGGGGUGAAGUCGUAACAAGGUACC